UAUUGUAGUGGUAUUGUAGUAGUACUGUAGUAGUAUUGUAGUAGUACUGUAGUAGUAGUAGUUCCUAAUCUUUUCUCUCCACUCCAGACUGGCAGAAAACGGAGGCUCAGAAGAGAAGAGAGCAGCUGCUGCUGGAUGAACUGGUCAUACUGGUCAACAAACGAGACGCGCUGGUCAGAGACCUCGAUGCACAGGAGAAACAGGCGGAGGAGGAAGAUGAGCACCUGGAGAGAACCCUCGAGCAGAACAAAGGCAAGAUGGCCAAGAAGGAAGAGAAGUGUGUCCUUCAAUGAUUGUCCUUUCAUUUCACACACACACACACACACACAUAUAGUCUGUGUCCCAAAUGGCACCCUCUGUCCUAUAUAGUACUUUUGACCAGGGCAACAUAGUGCACUAUACAGGGAAGAGGGGGCCAUUUGGGACACGAAUGUAGGCUACAAUAUUUGGUCGAUCGAUACAAGAAUUGCAUUAUUAUUAUUAUUAUUAUUAUAUUGACUAUUAUUGUUGUUGUUAUUAUACCAUUAUAUUGACUUAUUAUUAUUAUUAUUAUUAUUAUACCAUUAUAUUGACUAUUUGAUAAACCUAUAUUAGUAUGUUUAUUUGAACCCUGAAAUUGAAAUCCAGUCGUUGUUUUUUUGGUCAAGGGCUGUGAUUGUUUUACUGCUAAACUAAAAGGCAGCAUCCCAAAUGGAACCCUAUUCCCUAUAAAGUGCACUACUUUUGACCAGGGCCCUCCCUAUAUAGGAGAUAGGGUGUCAUUUGGGAGGUAUAGAGGCUCUGUGAUGAUGAGAGCCCAUGAUGCCUUGAACCAGCUUUAUACUGACAUGGAAAUGUGUCCCACUUAUACUAUAGACUUUAUUUUUAUUUUGUUGUGUUGUUGCUUUAUCAAGCAAGGUACUUGUAUUUAAUAUACAUAUAAAUGAUGGAAUAUACAGCCCAGUGGAAAACUACCAAGGGAGGGAUUGAAAUAUCAAAUAAUCAUGAUUCUAAAGGAAAAAAAGAGAUGGUUGUAUCCUAUAUGGCUUUGGAAUUUUACCUGAGACCUGAACAUUUAAUUUCAGACACAGCCUUCUCUGGCAGAACGUUUCAAUGUUGAGGAGCUAGGAGAGAGAGAUUCCUUUCUAGUGGUUUUGAGGAACAGCACAAGUUAUUUUAUGGGGGAUUUUGUUUUUUUAAUCGUUGAUGAUGAUAGCCUAUGAUAUUGUACUGACGUUUAUUAAUUCAAUUGGACAAAAAAAAAAAAAAGAG